rnacentral:rRNA from 1 species
AUAUCAAUAAGCGGAGGAAAAGAAACUAACAAGGAUUCCCCUAGUAACUGCGAGUGAAGCGGGAAAAGCUCAAAUUUAAAAUCUGUCAGUCUUUGGCUGUCCGAGUUGUAAUCUAGAGAAGUGUUAUCCGCGCUGGACCGUGUACAAGUCUCCUGGAAUGGAGCGUCAUAGAGGGUGAGAAUCCCGUCUUUGACACGGACUGCCAGGGCUUUGUGAUGCGCUCUCAAAGAGUCGAGUUGUUUGGGAAUGCAGCUCAAAAUGGGUGGUAAAUUCCAUCUAAAGCUAAAUAUUGGCGAGAGACCGAUAGCGAACAAGUACCGUGAGGGAAAGAUGAAAAGAACUUUGGAAAGAGAGUUAAACAGUACGUGAAAUUGCUGAAAGGGAAACGCUUGAAGUCAGUCGCGUUGUYCAGGGAUCAACCUUGCUUUUGCUUGGUGUAUUCUCUGGUUGACGGGUCAGCAUCAAUUUUGACUAUUGGAAAAAGAUUAAGGGAAUGUGGCAUCCUUGGAUGUGUUAUAGCCCUUGGUUGCAUACAAUGGUUGGGAUUGAGGAACUCAGCACGCCGAAAGGCCGGGUUUUAACCACGUACGUGCUUAGGAUGCUGGCAUAAUGGCUUUAAUCGACCCGUCUUGAAACACGGACCAAGGAGUCUAACAUGCCUGCGAGUGUUUGGGUGGAAAACCCGAGCGCGUAAUGAAAGUGAAAGUUGAGAUCCUUGUCAUGGGGAGCAUCGACGCCCGGACCAGACCUUUUGUGACGGUUCCGCGGUAGAGCAUGUAUGUUGGGACCCGAAAGAUGGUGAACUAUGCCUGAAUAGGGUGAAGCCAGAGGAAACUCUGGUGGAGGCUCGUAGCGAUUCUGACGUGCAAAUCGAUCGUCAAAUUUGGGUAUAGGGGCGAAAGACUAAUCGAACCAUCUAGUAGCUGGGUCUG